rnacentral:tRNA from 1 species
GGGGUUGUGGCUCAGUGGUAGAGUGCUUGCCUAGCAUACAUGAGGCCCUGGGUUUGAUCCCCAGAACCACA